GCAUUGAUACUGAGUUUGACGAAAAAACACAAUUGUUGACGCAUAUACACAGCCGUAUGGUUGAAUAUGAAAAUGGUUUCCUGCAAGAAAGUCAAUUAAAAAAAAAGAUAAAGUAGAAAAGGAAAACGCAACAGCCGAGGAAAUGCGGAAAAAAGCAUGCGAAAAACUGGGCGAAACAAAGAGAAGGCAAGAGCAAGAAGAUACUUCUGGUCCUGGCAGAAAGAGGAAAAGCACAGAGUUUCUUGAAUACCUUAAAUAUAAACAAGAUACCAACAAAGAAAAUACCGAGAAACAACUGAAAAUUCGUGAGCAAGAAAUUAUUUUGGAAAAACAAAGAUUGGAUGUACAGCAAAACAUGCAGAAUCAAAUGGUCGAGCAAAUGAAAAUGCAGCAGGAAUCGCAAAAGUCAAUGUUCAAUUUAUUUUAAACAUUUAUGAAUAAGUUCAAACAAUCUUAAUAUAUAAGACGGUAUAGCUGUUCCACUUGAAAGUCUGUUGGGUUUAAAAAAUUUUAUUUAAUUAAUUGUAUUAAUUAUAUAAAGUAUAGAAUAAUACAU